rnacentral:rRNA from 1 species
GUGGGGAAUAUUGGACAAUGGGCGAAAGCCUGAUCCAGCCAUGCCGCGUGUGUGAAGAAGGUCUUCGGAUUGUAAAGCACUUUAAGUUGGGAGGAAGGGCAGUAAGUUAAUACCUUGCUGUUUUGACGUUACCGACAGAAUAAGCACCGGCUAACUUCGUGCCAGCAGCCGCGGUAAUACGAAGGGUGCAAGCGUUAAUCGGAAUUACUGGGCGUAAAGCGCGCGUAGGUGGUUUUGUAAGUUGGAGGUGAAAUCCCCGGGCUCAACCUGGGAACUGCCUCCAAAACCGCAUGACUAGAGUACGGUAGAGGGUAGUGGAAUUUCCUGUGUAGCGGUGAAAUGCGUAGAUAUAGGAAGGAACACCAGUGGCGAAGGCGACUACCUGGACUGAUACUGACACUGAGGUGCGAAAGCGUGGGGAGCAAACAGGAUUAGAAACCCCAGUAGUCC